UUGAAUAUAAAAAUAUUUUAAUAUUUCAUUUUUAGUAAAGUUUUAAGUAAUUAUUUCAUUAUUUUCAUUUAUUAAUUAUUUGGUGUAUUAGAAAUAGGUAAUUGUUUUUGUUAUGUUAAAUUNGCUAGGUUUAAUCCUGUAAAAUGAGAAAGAAAAAUGAUUAGAAUUAUGAAUAUAAUCUACUUACUUAUUCAAAAUAAUAAAAGAUACUAUUAAUGAAUAUUUAAAAUAUAUCAAGUCAAAAAUACUAUCAGAUUAAACGAACAUUUUAAGUAAUUAUUUCAUUAUUUUCAUUUAUUAAUUAUUUGGUGUAUUAGAAAUAGGUAAUUGUUUUUGUUAUGUUAAAUUUUAAAAUACAUAACUUAAAAUGUUCGUUUAAUCUGAUAGUAUUUUUGACUUGAUAUAUUUUAAAUAUUCAUUAAUAGUAUCUUUUAUUAUUUUGAAUAAGUAAGUAGAUUAUAUU
rnacentral:lncRNA from 1 species